rnacentral:rRNA from 1 species
AUUGAACGCUGGCGGCGUGCUUAACACAUGCAAGUCGAUCGGUAGCGCGGGGGCAACCCUGGCGACGAGAGGCGGACGGGUGAGGAACGCUUGGGAAUCUGCCUAUCAGCGGGGGACAACACGGGGAAACUCGUGCUAAUACCGCAUACGCUCUACGGAGGAAAGCCGGGGACCGCAAGGCCUGGCACUGAUAGAGCGGCGGAUGUCGGAUGAGCUAGUUGGUGAGGUAAAGGCUCACCAAGGCGACGAGCCGUAGCGGGUCUGGGAGGAUGAUCCGCCACACUGGGACUGAGACACGGCCCAGACUCCUACGGGAGGCAGCAGUGGGGAAUUUUGGACAAUGGGCGAAAGCCUGAUCCAGCCAUGCCGCGUGAGUGAAGAAGGCCUUCGGGUUGUAAAGCUCUUUUGUCCGGGAGGAAAUCCUGGCCUCUAAUACAGGUCGGGGAUGACAGUACUGGAAGAAUAAGCACCGGCUAACUACGUGCCAGCAGCCGCCGUAACAC